AUGCGCGGUGGCGAGUGCGUGGCCCCUCGCCCCCAGACGGGUCGCUACUCCUCGCUGUGAAACUCGGACCUACUUUGCCGCGGGUACUCCUGGAGGGCAGGAUGGGCGCUGGCCACUGCCACGCUGCUUUCGUCUGCAGAGACUGCACCCGACGAGCGCACCAGCUCCCUCACGGAUCCUCCCUCCUGCCCCAGCGGGAGGAUCCGAAGACCGGCGCGGGGAGGAGAAAGUUGAAUCCCCUCCCCCUCUCUCCACGGGUAGCGCCACGUACUCUGAUGGAGCAGCCGGGCCGCGCCACUAGGUGUUUAUUGGGAUAUGGACACGAGACAAGGGUCUCAGAGAAUCUAGCAGGAAGAUCUGAAGGCAAAUAUACCACCACACUGGGAACUGUACAAUAAGGGUGUGUACGUAAAACAAGGCAACAAUACAGAGACUUAUACUGUUGGCACAAAAGCACUCACAGAAGUGACAACUGGUACCAUGGAGAAUUUUGAAGACUAAACAGGAAUUCACCAGGAGAGAAAAAGAUAGCAAGGGUUUCCCACGGAAGAAAAAGAAUGAACAAAACUCUGGAGAACUGCCAUUGUAUUGUUUGCUUCUGGAGACAACGGGUGGAUUCAGGGUUUAGAGUCGAGCAAUACCUGUAGCCACGUUACCAACUCUGUAAAUGCCAGGUGCCUUCAUUUCUAAAGUGUAAUGCCUACCUCAUGGGGUUGUUGGAAGAAUUAGACAGCAUUACAAUACUCAGCUGUGUAGUAAGAGUCCAACAAACGUCAGUCAUUAUUAUUACCAGUCCUGCAUCAGUGGAGUGCAGAGGGGUCAUGGUGGGGGGUCGAGUCUGGGAGAAAUCAGAGGCAGUUCACAAAAGGCUUUGAUGGCCAUGCUAAGAAUGAAUCUUAUCUCCUGAAGGUGUUGGAGAGCAUUUUACUGUGUUUUAUUAUUUUUUUAAAGUUUGUUUGCUUAUUAUUUAGAGAGAGCGAGAGAGCAGGAAAGUGAGAGAGACAGAGAGGAAAUUAUGUAACAUGUUUCUUGAUGAGAAGACCUGGGUCUUUCAUCUCUGUAACCUUAGUGUUGAGGCCAGUGUCUGGCCCGUAGCAGGUGCUCAAUAAGGGUGAAGAAGUGAAUCCAUGUCUCUUGUUUGCCACCAUUUGACCACUGUUCCACUUCUACCUACUUGGCUUCCUGACUGCUAAGGAAUGAGUUCUGUUAAUGGACACCAUUGGAGACUCAACCCUAAAAAGAAAACCUUUACUUGGGGGAGCAAGAGUCUUGGAAAUCACGAAGGUCCACUGUAAGCCCUUAAAAGGGAACGGCGUAGCUGGUAUACACUCCUGCCUUGAGAUCAGGGGAAAGACAAGUGACACACAGAGCAUCAAAGGCACCUACUUGUCCCGCUGGGCCAAGGCCUCAGUGUACUGGUCAGGAUCACCCCGGGCCGUUGGUGCAUCCUCCCUGUCCUUGGUGACCCCUUUCAGCCUCUCUGAGAGCUCCAGGUUACACUCCUUCUCAGCUUCCACCAGAGCUGCCAUCCGCGCAGCUUCAUGCUUUGCCAGCCUGGAUUCCUGCGAAAAGCACGAAAAGGUGAGACGCUGCAAAGCGCCAUCUAAGUUAGGAGCCCGGGACUGUGGACUCUUGGCGAGUGGGAGGGAGAGCAGGGAGAGAAAAGGUGAACGCCAGGAGGCAGAGCAGUCGGGCAAGCGGUGAAAGGGGCCUGCUCACCUCCUGCAGAAGCUGGAUCUUGUUCUCCAGGAGCUGGUACACGUGCUCCGUCUCCUGCUGUCUCUCCUCAAACUGGCGCCGGAGCUCGGCCUCGUUGUGGCUGUUGAGAUUCUCCACGUCAGCCCUACAAUCGUGGAGCAUUGGCCAGUCAGAGCUAGUCAGGUAAUUUAGCAAAUGGACCCGUUAAAGUUGUGGCAACGAUUCAGAGUCACACUGAAAUGAAGCACUGUUCCCUCUGCGAUUUAUUUGUGGAGCUGCUCUUUCCAACCUUUGCAGGUUCUCUUUCAGGAACUCUAUUUUUUUUAAUUAUAAUUUGCUUGCAAAUAACAA